rnacentral:lncRNA from 1 species
UCAGACCAGGACUCCAGCCCUCAGAAUGGCUCCUUCCACAUUCAAGAGUCCAAAUUUGGCUUCAUCUCCUUUUGGAAGAGGUUCAUUCCUUGGAAAUUUUCUAGACCAUACAAACCAACUUGUGGCAGGUAGCUCCGGUUCUGACUGCCUAGGUCCUGACUUGUGCAUCACGUCCUCUGACCUUCGUUUUCAUCUGAUAGUUUUUGUUGCAAGUCGACUCUGGAAUGAUCUUCUCCUAGUGUAAUUCCAGCAUGAAAUUGUGACGAAUAAAAUAUUCCACUUGCCUCUCCAAACCUAAGUGUCAAAGUACCAGGUGAUGUGGGCAGGGUUGGGUCAUCUAAUCCUACCUGGUACUUCUGGGAGCACCUGUGUAGUUGGGCAAAAAAGAGGAGAGGUAAACUUGAGUUGGAUGUAGUGGCACAGGCCUGUAAUUUCAGGAUUCAGGCAGCUGAAGCAGGAUGACCACUGUGAAUGAGGAAAAGAGUGAGGAGGGACACAGCCAGCCAUGUGGCUCAUAUGGUAGGAUGCUUGCCUUGAAGAGACGAUGCUCUGGAUUCAUUCUCUGGUACACAUGAGCCAGGCAUGGUAGAAUCCAUGUGUAAUCCUUGUGCUCAGGGGCUGGAGGCGGGAGGAUCAGACACAGUCAUCCUUAACUACUUAGUGAAUUUGAUUCAAGCCUGGGACACAUGAGACCUUGUCUUUUAAAAAGGGAGUCUGGAGACAGGUGUGCUGAUAUGCAUCUAUAAUCCUCUGGACUUCAAGGCCAGUCGCUAGUACACAAGACUGAAACCAGUUUGGACUACCAGAACCCUGUCUCAGACAACAACAACAAACCCCUUUCAAGCCCAGGAAAGAAAGUCCCUAGGACUCCCAUGUUGGAAGAAGAGAACUCGUUCAAGCUUGAUUUUCCACAGGAGUACCUCUGUACAUUCGUCUGCAAAGUAACACAAAAUAAACAAGUAAAGCUUAUUUAAAAAAAAAAUAAAACCUCAAAGGUUUAUAAUUUAAAAA